AGAGUUUGAUCCUGGCUCAGGAUGAACGCUAGCGACAGGCCUAACACAUGCAAGUCGAGGGGCAGCGGGGAGGUAGCAAUACCUUUGCCGGCGACCGGCGCACGGGUGAGUAACACGUAUGCAAUCCACCUGUAACAGGGGGAUAACCCGGAGAAAUCCGGACUAAUACCCCAUAAUAUGGGCUCUCCGCAUGGAGAGCCCAUUAAAGAGAGCAAUUUUGGUUACAGACGAGCAUGCGCUCCAUUAGCCAGUUGGCGGGGUAACGGCCCACCAAAGCGACGAUGGAUAGGGGUUCUGAGAGGAAGGUCCCCCACAUUGGAACUGAGACACGGUCCAAACUCCUACGGGAGGCAGCAGUGAGGAAUAUUGGUCAAUGGGCGCGAGCCUGAACCAGCCAAGUCGCGUGAGGGAAGACGGUCCUAUGGAUUGUAAACCUCUUUUGUCAGGGAGCAAGUGCCCCACGUGUGGGGAGCUGAGAGUACCUGAAGAAAAAGCAUCGGCUAACUCCGUGCCAGCAGCCGCGGUAAUACGGAGGAUGCAAGCGUUAUCCGGAUUUAUUGGGUUUAAAGGGUGCGUAGGCGGCACGCCAAGUCAGCGGUGAAAUUUCCGGGCUCAACCCGGAGUGUGCCGUUGAAACUGGCGAGCUAGAGUACACAAGAGGCAGGCGGAAUGCGUGGUGUAGCGGUGAAAUGCAUAGAUAUCACGCAGAACCCCGAUUGCGAAGGCAGCAUACUGGGCUAUAACUGACGCUGAAGCACGAAAGCGUGGGUAUCGAACAGGAUUAGAUACCCUGGUAGUCCACGCAGUAAACGAUGAAUACUAACUGUUUGCGAUACAAUGUAAGCGGUACAGCGAAAGCGUUAAGUAUUCCACCUGGGGAGUACGCCGGCAACGGUGAAACUCAAAGGAAUUGACGGGGGCCCG
rnacentral:rRNA from 1 species